rnacentral:lncRNA from 1 species
AGAAGCCCGCUGACACCCAGACGCGCUCUUUCACAGCCUGGGAACCCACGUCAACCCCCUUACCUCGCCAUGCAUCACUCAUCUUAACCGACGUGAAUGCAGGUGCGGCGAGUGCCAUCCCCAACGGUGGAGAGACGGGCACCGCUCACUGACCCCGCAGCGAGGCACGGCCAGGUAAGGGCUCGGGAAGCAGCCAGCACGCCGAGCAGCCGUCGCACGCGCCGUGCCUGCGGAGAAUACGUUACAGCGCUCCGCCUUCGCUGAACCUCCGGUACCAACCAGGCAGAUUCACCCCCACCCUCAAACACGAUCCCGCAGGACACCGCAACUCACGCAGCCUGAAAAGCCUAAACUGAAGAGGCGGGGCGGGAGCGAUCCCGCGAGAAGACCGGAGGUGGCGAGACCGCGUCUCUUCGUAUCGCGAGGCUUGCGCUACUUCUCGCGAGAGCUACCGGAAGUCUUGGCCGCCGGCUGCCAGCGUCGGGCCUUAGGUAGCAGCCACCUGCCUACACUGCGAGUAAUGAAGACUCAACAGAACCCAAAGCAAGAUGAAGUUCCUUCUGUAUAUCAUCUUUGCUGUUAGCUGGAAUUUUAUUGUAACAAGUUAAUGAAAUGUGUGUGGUGGUUUAUGAGCCAGUGGUAACAGAAGAAUAGCAGGCAUGAAAGCACUGACAGAGUUGCUUCAACAAUAAACUACAUAAAUUUUGGAUACCGCAUAUGUUGGGGUAGGUUGUUCAAAAAUAUAGUACCAAUAAAUUCAAUUGUUUUUAAAAUAUACAUGUAGUCAUGUUUAGCUACACUGAUUCUAAAGGAAUGUGACAAUAGCCGUACCAUCAUAAAAACAAAGCUGGAAACAGCAUGAUGUUUUCAAAAUUUGGCAAAAUAACCAGAAUCAGAAACUUAAUGAAUUUCAGCCCUCAAAGCAUGUUAGAAAAUUCUGCAAGAACAUGUAAGUUGUCAUUCUAAGGCAAACUUUUAAACUGGGUCAUGUUUGAAGAUAAAUGUUCAUACCACAAGGUGUUUGUUUAAUGAAUGUUAUGUUGCAUUUGAUUAUUACAGAGAUAGUUCUGCUUAAUGAGGAUUCUU